CACCCUGAGGCCGGGCAGGUACACCAUAUUACGUAACGCACACGGGUGCCUUCCUUGGAGAGGACGUCGCAAAGUCUCUUCGACUUCCAGCACUAACAGCAGAGUCAAAUAAAUGCAAACACUUCAGGUUGGAUGGAGCUGUCACCCCCGGAUCACCCUGGCAACCAGGAAAGGGCAGAGAGGAAAACGUUUUUUUCCUCCUGUUUAUUCUUGAACCCCUUUUGUUAUGACUGGGACUGUUCUGGAGUUCAAUGUAGGUGGUUAGCAGGAUUUAGGAGGAGAGCGACUGGUCGAGUAACUGCAAAAUUAAAAUGACGUGAACUUAAUGGCA